CCAUGAUGUGGAGAGGAAUUCAAGGAUCCUGACAAAGUUUUGGAGAAAUUCUAGUCAAGAGACACACAAAAAGCAAAGCCCUCCUGUUCCCAGCCCCAAGUCGGUUAAACCCAUGUUAAAUCUAUAGGUUGAAGACCUGGAUCAUUCGAAGCCCAGAGCCUUGCACAGCAGCGAUCUGCUCCAACAGAGGGUGAUGUCAUCAUCCGAGGCCACACAAAUAAUGCAUUUCUCACCAUCAAAAAGCUUCUGAAGCCAUGUUCUCAAAGGCAAAAAAUAAAUAAAUAAAUAACCAAUUAACUACACCAGUGUAAGGGUGAAACAAGUUCUUAUCUGAUAAAACUGACUUAUAAACACAGGUUAUCUCUUCCCCCUUUGAAACAGCCUCACUGUAUUUAAAUGAAAUGCGCUACAAUUUGGAAAAAUG
rnacentral:lncRNA from 1 species